rnacentral:rRNA from 1 species
GACGAACGCUGGCGGCGUGCUUAACACAUGCAAGUCGAACGGUAAGGCCCUUCGGGGUACACGAGUGGCGAACGGGUGAGUAACACGUGGGUGAUCUGCCCUGCACUUCGGGAUAAGCCUGGGAAACUGGGUCUAAUACCGGAUAGGACUCCGGACUGCAUGGUCUGGGGUGGAACGCUGUGCGGUGUGGGAUGGGCCCGCGGCCUAUCAGCUUGUUGGUGGGGUGAUGGCCUACCAAGGCGACGACGGGGAGCCGGCCAGAGAGGGUGACCGGCCACGCUGGGACGGGGCUCCGGCCCAGACUACUACGGGAGGCAGCGGUGGGGAAUAUUGCACAAUGGGAGCAAGCCUGAUGCAGAGACGCCGCGUGAGGGAUGACGGCCUUCGGGUUGUAAACCUCUUUCAGCAUCGACGAAGAGAAAGUGACGGUAGGUGCAGAAGAAGGACCGGCCAACUACGUGCCAGCAGCCGCAGUAA